rnacentral:misc_RNA from 1 species
GGUGUUGCCAAGUUUGAUGAUGGGACAACCCUAUUUUUGGUCCCUCCAUCAGAUUUCUUAACCAAGGUGUUGAAGGUUGCAGGACCUGAACGUCUUUAUGGUGUAGUUCUCAAGUUGCCACAACAUGUCCCUAAUAGUGCAUUAAUACAGCCACAGCUACGACAGCCCAACCAUUUUCCUCAGUAUAUUGAUAGACGUCACAUUCCUCCACCAGAGGCUGAGUAUAAUCAAAUUCCUCGAGAGGAACAUAUGAUGCUAUUGGAUUAUAACAGGGUUUUGCACGAGGACUCAAAGCCUCUGUCGAAAACAUUUUAUACACCAACAACUAAGUCCAUUGCAGAGCAGUCUAUCCCUCAAGAUUAUACUUCUGGUAACUCUGUAGCAGCUUCUCUAGCAGGAGUGUCGUUGACACCUGAGCUUAUUGCCACUCUUGCAUCUCUAUUGCCUGGAAAUGCAGAGUCAACUGGUUUAGAAGGUGGUCAACCAGUAUCAGGCUCUGUUGUUAGGCCUCUAUUUUCCUCAGUUGCUACUGAUCAAGGAACUUCCUCACUUGGUUGGAAGAAUGAUAAUCAGGUUUCUGGAAACACAGAUCAUAUAAAAUUUGGGAACCAAUUCAAUUCUCAGGCACAAGUUCAUUCUCAGUUUCAGCCUUAUCCAUCUGUACCCAAUGGACCUUAUAAUCCAGCAAAUAUGGUCCCUGCCAACACCCAAAUCAAAGAUUCUUCCGUCAACCUACCACAUCAGGGUGGAAUUCCAUCUAGGCCUUUGACGAGUGUUUCCAUGCCUUCCCAAAGUGGACAAGUUGGUUUGUCACCACAAGUCAACCAGCAGUAUAUGCUUGAUGUUCCUCAGCAGAAGGGAUAUGGUGGAAUGGUGCAUGGAAUAGACGUUUCUGGUCCAUAUAGUCCAUCAGUUAUUCAGCAACCUAAUAAUAAUGCUGCCUUCUCUAGUCAGGCUCAGGGCGGUAAUCAUUCCCAGUUACAAUCUGGGAUGCUUAUAUCUGCUGACAAAGUGAAUCAGCAGAAUCCCAAUCAGGUGCAGCAAUUCCAAACUGCUCUUCCUGGAGCUGGUCAGGACACAUCAGAGGAUGAGGUUGACAGGAAUGAGCGAUACCAAUCGACAUUACAGUUUGCAGCAAGCCUCCUCCUCCAUGUACAGCAGCAACAUCAGCCGCAAACAGGUAAUCCAGCAGUGCAUGGGUCUGGAAAUCAACAAUGAUAUUCCUUUAAUAUAGGUAGAGAGGUACAUACAAUUGGCUGUUGGCUUUUAUCUGCCCAUGGAGAAAGUUUGCGAUUUCUUCAAUUGAAACGCGUUCGUUUGCGUUUGCGUUUCAGCGCGGUAGGAAUUAAAUGUACUGUACAAAACUAUGGAUAACAGUUUCUUUUGGUCUUCAACUUCUUUUUG